AGUGAACGCUGGCGGUAGGCCUAACACAUGCAAGUCGAACGGCAGCACAGUAAGAGCUUGCUCUUACGGGUGGCGAGUGGCGGACGUGUGAGGAAUACAUCGUAAUCUACUUUUUCGUGGGGGAUAACGUAGGUAAACUUACUCUAAUACCGCAUACGACCUACGGGUGAAAGCAUGGGAUCUUCUGACCUUGCGCGGUUGAAUGAGCCGAUGUCGGAUUAGCUAGUUGGCGGGGUAAAGGCCCACCUAGGCGACGAUCCGCAGCUGGUCUGAGAGGAUGAUAAGCGACACUGGAACUGAGACACGGUCCAGACUCCUACGGGAGGCAGCAGUGGGGAAUAGUGGACAAAGGGCGCAAGCAUGAUCCAGCCAUACCGCGUGGGUGAAGAAGGCCUUCGGGUUGUAAAGACCUUUUGUUGGGAAAGAAAAGCAGCAGGUUAAUACCCAGCUGUUCUGACGGUACCCAAAGAAUAAGCACCGGCUAACUUCGUG
rnacentral:rRNA from 1 species